rnacentral:rRNA from 1 species
GAAUAUUGGUCAAUGGGCGCGAGCCUGAACCAGCCAAGUAGCGUGAAGGAUGAAGGUCCUAUGGAUUGUAAACUUCUUUUAUAGCAGAAUAAAGUGACCCACGUGUGGGUUUUUGUAUGUAUGCUAUGAAUAAGGAUCGGCUAACUCCGUGCCAGCAGCCGCGGUAAUACGGAGGAUCCGAGCGUUAUCCGGAUUUAUUGGGUUUAAAGGGUGCGUAGGCGGAAAGAUAAGUCAGCCUGUGAAAGUUUGCGGCUCAACCGUAAAUUGCAGUGGAUACUGUUUUUCUUGAGUGUACAUAAGGUAGGCGGAAUUCGUGGUGUAGCGGUGAAAUGCUUAGAUAUCACGAAGAACUCCGAUUGCGAAGGCAGCUUACCGGGGUACAACUGACGCUGAUGCACGAAAGUGUGGGUA